rnacentral:rRNA from 1 species
GGCCCCGCACAAGCGGUGGAGCAUGUGGUUUAAUUCGAUGAUACGCGAGGAACCUUACCAGGGCUUAAAUGCAGAACGACCGGGGUGGAAACACCCCUUUCUUCGGACGGUCUGCAAGGUGCUGCAUGGUUGUCGUCAGCUCGUGCUGUGAAGUGUCGGGUUAAGUCCCAUAACGAGCGCAACCCCUAUUUCUAGUUGCCAGCGGUUCGGCCGGGGACUCUAGAGAAACUGCCAGCGUAAGCUGUGAGGAAGGUGGGGAUGACGUCAAAUCAUCACGGCCCUUACAUCCUGGGCCACACACGUGCUACAAUGGUGGGGACAACAGGUUGCCAACCCGCGAGGGUGAGCC